CAAAUUAAUCUCGUUGUGAUUUUGUUUUUCAGAAAAUAAAUGUGAAUAGAUCGUAAAUUCGGUGUAGUUUUUGGUGUAAUUCGUACUGUACGCGUAUAAUAAAGGAUUUAGACACUUUGUUCUUUAGAAAUUACGUAUAACGAGAUUUGGAAUAUGCCCUAUAACUGCAGACUCCAAUAUUGCAAAUAGCACCUGCAAUACAGUGGAAUAACAUAUUGGUGUGCUGAAGAAAAGAUGGCAAAGGCUUUGCUGAAGAAAAGCUGAUAGGACAUUGUACUGAUGACCCUGUUAUCUGGUCAAAUCAUACAUGUGUGUAUUAUCAAAAUAUUUGCAUAGAUUGUGAAAUGCAAAUAUUUUGAUAAUACACACAUUAAUGAUUUGAAAAUAUUUGAUUUGGUCUUUGAUAUUUGAAAAUAAAAGAAUACUUACUUUG